GACGAACGCUGGCGGCGUGCCUAAUACAUGCAAGUCGAACGAGUGGCGGACGGGUGAGUAAUAUAUGGGAAUGUGCCCAGUAGCGGGGGAUAACUACGCGAAAGAGUGGCUAAUACCGCAUACCAUCGGAUGUGCCCAUAUGGGAUUAGCUAGUUGGUGGGGUAAAGGCUCACCAAGGCGACGAUCCGUAGCUGGUUUGAGAGGACGACCAGCCACACUGGGACUGAGACACGGCCCAGACUCCUACGGGAGGCAGCAGUGGGGAAUAUUGGGCAAUGGGGGAAACCCUGAUCCAGCCAUCCCGCGUGUAUGAGAAGGCCUUCGGGUUGUAAAGUACUUUUGGCAGCGAAGCGGUAUCUGCAGAAUAAGCACCGGCUAACUCCGUGCCAGCAGCCGCGGUAAUAC
rnacentral:rRNA from 1 species